CAACUUAUCAGCAUAGUCAUGCAAAUCCUGCAAGCCAAUUUAGCUUUUGAAGAUGAUGACAAAGAAGUGCUGGUUGCUUCAGAAUCCUUCAAUCUCUGCAAGUGCUCCUGGAAUUUGUUGGGUAUUAGGUUCCCUUCCUAUGUGGAGAAAAGGUCCAAAAUUGAGAAGUCCAAAUUUUGUCUCACUUAAAAACCAAGUGGAGAGGGAUCUCUUAGGAAUAAAAGAGAGAAAAUUACACAGCGGUCAGGGAGAGAAAGAAGAGAGAAAGAGAGAACAAUAUUUGGUUUGCAUACACAAAGCAGUUUCAGUAAAAUUUCGAUCCCCACUUCGUUUACCGUUGGAUCGGGCUGAAAAUUUGACAGCAGAUUCUUAACACGGUGAUCUUUGUUUUGACCAUGGGGAUCGUGAAUUGGAAGUCUAUGGUUGGAGAAAUCAAUUUCUUACAAUUGCUCUAAUUUGAGAAUUGUGAUACAAGCGGGUGAGGUGAUGAGGGUAAACUAUUGCACCGAAUGUGUAGAGAGUUCUUUGUGCUUGUUUCCAUUUAUUCUUGUUGGACAAGACAAUAGAGGGAUAUAGAAGUUGGAGAUGAUAUUCACAAUUUGUUCUGAAGUCUCAGUUUUAGUACCUGCAUCUGCUCCAUAUAUAGCUAAUGAAUUGAGGGAGACAAAAAGAAUAUUUUUGUCCCUAGAUGUCACAAAAUGGGCUAGCAUUUAUAUCAUCUUGAUUUGAAUCUCAGAUCUAUGAUGGUAUUGUUUACUCAGUGCUUCCUACUCACUAGGUUGCUGAUAAUAAAAAAAUCAGAAUUUGUGGAACAUGCAUUGUAAUGUUAGUUUUUGUCUAAUGGUGGAGCGUGGAGGAACUGUUUUUAUUCUUAAACAGCAUUCGGUCUACAAACUUGUCGCUAAAUUAAAGGCAACACGAAUUUUCAUCUUCAGAUAUCAAAACAUUAAAUGAAAGGUGCAAGGUACCUAUACCACAAACAGGGUGCAGGCACCAUACAAUGUUUGAUGAAAAAGGAACUUGCUUGGAAGGGAAAUAUGCAAUGCAGGUGAGCAUGCAACAAAGACAUUAAAACUUUAUUUUGUUUCCUAAAUGGAGGUUAUUUAUUCCAUAGGGCUUUUCUGUUUUGGUGAAGUCCCAUAAACUUGCAGAUCAUAAAACAUGUAGCAUAUAUUUUAAGUUGCUUUUCUCUGAUUUAUAUAUGGAUCCGUUGUUGACUUGUCCUUGCGAGUACAUGGUUGCAGUUUGUACAAAUGGGUGAACUUGUGAAACAAUUAGCAACAUCAAAGAAAUGUCCAGUAGUUGUAGGAUUGGAGCCUCUGUCUACGUAAAGAAUUCGAGUUUAAAAACGUGAGAUACAGAAAAAUAAAGAGCACGUGAAACAAACUUGUAUUCCUCUACAAUAUCCGCCAGCCAAUCUACCAAAACAUUCUUCAUAUCAGCAUUAAUUGGAAAGGAAAAGGAUGUUCACAGUUUCACUGUUUUACAUGCUCUGAAGAGAAAAGUGUGAUUUUGUUGAAUCAUCAUCAUCGACUCAUGGAGUUGUCUUGUUCAAAUACAAAUGGUUUUUAAAUUAAAUACUUAAAUUGGUCCUCCAAAGAUACUUGGUAUAUGAUCAAAUUAGUCUUCCAUAUAUUUUGGACAUCAAUUUGGUUCUUCGAACAGUAAAAUUAAA